AUUCCAGCUCCAAUAGCGUAUAUUAAAGUUGCUGCAGUUAAAAAGCUCGUAGUUGGAUUUGUGGCGCGGCCGUCCGGCGGGGCUCCUUCAUUGGGGCCGUUUGUCUGGUUUUUCGGCCGCUCCAUUCUCGGGUAGUGUGUCGCUGGCAUUAGGUUGUCGGCUUCUUCACGCCCGUCGUUUACUGUGAAAAAAUUAGAGUGUUCAAAGCAGGCUUAGGCCAUUGGAUACAUUAGCAUGGAAUAAUGAGAUAGGGCCACGACGGUCUAUUUUGUUGGUUUGCACGUUGUGGUAAUGAUUAACAGGAACGGUUGGGGGUAUUCGUAUUCAAUUGUCAGAGGUGAAAUUCUUGGAUUUAUGGAAGACGAACUACUGCGAAAGCAUUUACCAAGGAUGUUUUCAUCA
rnacentral:rRNA from 1 species